UCAUCACUACGCUAGAUGUAUAUCAAUAAGCGGAGGAAAAGAAACUAACAAGGAUUCCCUUAGUAACGGCGAGUGAAGCGGGAAGAGCUCAAAUUUGAAGUCUUCAAGGUUCUACCUUGACGAAUUGUAGUUUAUAGAAGCGUUUUCUGUUAGUAGGAGUGGCAAAAGUUCUUUGGAAUAGGACAUCAUAGAGGGUGAGAAUCCCGUAUUUGGUCAUUCCUUCCUAGCUUUGUGAUACACUUUCAACGAGUCGGAUUGUUUGGGAAUGCAGUCCAAAAUGGGUGGUAAAUUUCAUCUAAAGCUAAAUAUUGGCGAGAGACCGAUAGCGAACAAGUACCGUGAGGGAAAGAUGAAAAGAACUUUGAAAAGAGAGUUAAACAGUACGUGAAAUUGUCAAAAGGGAAGCGUUUGACACCAGUGUUGUUUUUCCGAAAAUCAAUUACGAAUGUUUUAUUUUUGAGAGAGUUAUGACUUCAUCGGCUUGCUUCUUUCUUUACGAAACUUUCUUAAUGCACUUUUCGGUUAACAAGUCAACAUCAAUUUCUUUUGUUGUAAAAGGGUAUGAGGAAGGUGGCUUUCUUUUCGGAGAAAGUGUUUAUAGCCUUGUAGCCUCUGCAAUCGGAGAGAUUGAGGUCUGCAGCGUAGAUCCUUCGGGGUUAGAUACAUUUGUGCUAAGUUAUAGCUUUUCAUAGACAACUUGUUGACUAUGUUAAGUCUUGUAGCUUACUCGCUUAUGCUAUUUUACCUACGCUUAGGAUGUUGAUCUCUCACAGUCGAGC
rnacentral:rRNA from 1 species